CCUACGGGAGGCAGCAGUGAGGAAUAUUGGUCAAUGGACGCAAGUCUGAACCAGCCAUGCCGCGUGCAGGAAGACGGCUCUAUGAGUUGUAAACUGCUUUUGUACAAGGGUAAACCUGAAUACGUGUAUUCAGCUGAAAGUAUUGUACGAAUAAGGAUCGGCUAACUCCGUGCCAGCAGCCGCGGUAAUACGGAGGAUCCAAGCGUUAUCCGUAUUUAUUGGGUUUAAAGGGUGCGUAGGCGGAUUGAUAAGUUAGAGGUGAAAUGUCCGAGCUCAACUCGGGAACUGCCUCUAAUACUGUUGAUCUAGAGAGUAGAUGCGGUAGGCGGAAUGUAUGGUGUAGCGGUGAAAUGCUUAGAGAUCAUACAGAACACCGAUUGCGAAGGCAGCUUACCAAUCUAUAUCUGACGUUGAGGCACGAAAGCGUGGGGAGCAAACAGGAUUAGAUACCCUAGUAGUC
rnacentral:rRNA from 1 species